rnacentral:rRNA from 1 species
UACGGAGGGUGCAAGCGUUAAUCGGAAUUACUGGGCGUAAAGCGUGCGUAGGCGGUUCGUUAAGUCUGUUGUGAAAGCCCGGGCUCAACCUGGGAAUGGCAAUGGAUACUGGCGAGCUAGAGUGUGUCAGAGGAUGGUGGAAGUUCCCGGUGUAGCGGUGAAAUGCGUAGAGAUCGGGAGGAACAUCAGUGGCGAAGGCGGCCAUCUGGGCAGUAACUGACGCUGAGGAGCGAAAGCGUGGGUAGCAAACAGG